UCCCUCUGUUAUCAAGAUCGAGGGUUUCGAUUAAUAGAGCGAAAUAAAGAAUCCUCUGAUCUUGUAACCAGUUCUUGAUUCUUGAAUCUGUGAUUCUGGCGAAAAAGAGGGGAGGAACCUUAAUUUUGGAUUGGUUGCGAGUAGGUUUUAAUGUUCGUCAUUAGUGAGUAAAUCAAAGAGGAAUAUAGAAGCAAACUAGAGUUGCCUUAAAAUUCUUUUUUUUUUUUUGGUCUUCUAUCGUCUAGGUUUCACGAUUCUAGCAUAAUAAACGGAAUGGAUGGAUAUCUGGACGGUGAAUCCCAAAUUCUUUGUUCAUUAUCUUGUUUUUUCAAGAGUCACUGAGGUAAAGAGAUAUUGUUUGACAUUGUAUUUUAAAUUCAUAUUUGAAUCGUUAGUUAGAUGCGUCUGAAGGUGGAAAUUGCAUAACCACUUAACCAGUAUAGCGUUUUAGUGUUUUCUUGGGUGUAAAACAGGUGCGGCAUGUGUUCAGUAUGAGUCUUUAUUUGUGAGAAUUAUGUAGAGGCAGAAGACAAUGGAAGAAAAUAUGCCUACCCCCGAAAGAAAGUCAUUUUAGAACAAUUUUUAUCAUGCUGGAGUGGCACUUGGCCAAUAAGUCUUCCCACUUUGGAGAGGCUAAGAAAAACAUCAAAUUUGCAGCCCAUUGCUUUACAGUUUUGUAUUUGUAAUGACAUGAAUACUCAUACAUGUACAUUUCAUGUAAGGGUUAGAAAAAAGAUAAAAGAUGUAUAGGGCAGAAACAAUAGAUUUCACGCAUGUCUCUUGUUCAUGGUCUUUUUGGCGCAACAGUAUAGUUACUCUGUUGUAACUUGGGUGAUGAGUUUGAAACAAGAAAAUGACUUCUCUGGAUAAGGCUGCAUACACUUAACCCCCUUCCAAACCUCAUAGUGGUUGGAGCCUCAUACACAUGGUUUCAGUCUACUCUCUGUUGGGGGAUGGGGGGACACCUUUAGUCCCAUAUUGCUUGUGUGACGAAGAGGUUUGUGCCUUAAAUGGAGGGGCUCCCUCCUUUCUCUUCGGAGGCGCCUUUUAGGGCAAAACCGUGAGAGGUGGAAAGCGACCCGCGACUGCCCGAGCAGCAGCGUGAGGCCGACCCCCAAAGCGGACAAUACCUUCGGAGAGAAACACAGAUACUUUUCACCCACAACAAAUGGUGCGGUGAGCGUGGACCUCCCUAUACCCUGUAAAACCGCGAGGUGGAAUCACAGACCUCUCCGUCAGGGGAGGCUGUGUUGGGGGAUGGGGGAACACCUUUAGUCCCAUACUGCUUGUGUGACGAAGAGGUCUGUGCCUUAAAUGGGGGGCUCCCUUCUUUCUCUUCGGAGGCGCCCUUUGGGGCAAAACCGUGAGGGGUGGAAAGCGACCCACGACUGCCCGAGCAGCAGCGUGAGGCCGACCCGCAAAGCGGAUAAUACUUUCGGAGAAAAACACAGAUAUUUUUCGCCCACAGCAGAUGGUGCGGUGAGCGUGGACCUCCCUAUACCCUGUAAAACCGCGAGGUGGAAUCACAGACCUCUCCGUCAGGGGGGGCUGUGUUGGGGGAUGAAGGGACACCUUUAGUCCCAUACUGCUUGUGUGACGAAGAGGUCUGUGCCUUAAAUGGGGGGCUCCCUCCUUUCUCUUCGGAGGUGUCUUUUGGGGCAAAACCGUGAGGGGUGGAAAGCGACCCGCGACUGCCCGAGCAGUAGCGUGAGGCCGACCCCCAAAGCGGACAAUACCUUCGAAGAGAAACACAGAUACUUUUUGCCCACAACACUCUCCAUUCGAGUUUAUGCAUUAUUAUAAGUUAGACAUUCCAAUUCUCUAAGAAAAUCGAGUCUCAUCUUGAAUGCAAUGCGCAACCAGCAAUAUUUGCACGUUGCCAUGGCUUGCUGAACUUUUUGAAUUCAAACUAAUGGUGGAACGGUAGGAAGAGAUGGAUGUUUGGACCAGAAACUCUUGGCCUUCUGGCUGGGUUAAAAAUCCUCGAGUGCAUACAUUCAUGAAACCCAUUGUUCUAUUAAAAAGGAUGACAAUAACAACAAGAGGCUGCUACGUGAAAUUUUAUAUAAUCUUGAGUACCCUUAAAUAUAGUUGGAUCAUUGACUGCAAACCCUUACACAUAAUCCUGAGCACCAAACAUUAACAUUCUCUAUUUCAUAUGCUCUACUACUUCCACUAGGUAUUCGCAUAAGAACAGUAAUAAUUUUAAAAUGCUUCAUGAAUUACCUGAUGUUUUGUCCUGUUCCACAUGGCAGUUGAACUAGGCCCAACAGGCUUGUGUUUGACUUGGCGUAUAUUGAAUUAUUUUAUGGGACUAUCCCCUAGUUACUUGGUAAAGACAUGCUCCGUAUCGUUGGUCUUUCAACGCAGUUUCUAGUCAAGACUUCACUUUGCCAGCGGUAUGUGUAAGUUGAUGUUUUCUGGUUUUCUGGUUUGCAUAUUGCAGCAACUCUAAUUAUUACUUGUCCAAACUUUAUCCUGCAAACUUUUGGUUAGUUAUUUUAUUUUUAUUGGUACCUGUCUUUGUCUCCUCUAUAGUUCUUCCCGGUAUAACAGCUUUUUCAUAGUUCUUUUUGUCAGGAUUAUGUCCCUCAAUUCUUUCAAAUCCAUCAGGAGAAAUAGAAGAUAGUCAUGCAUGUUAGCUGAUGCAUCUUUUCUUAAAUUUUGUUUUAAAGUAGAAAGAAAUGAACCUGUGUCAUAUAGUUUCUGACUUGUUGCACGUCAUACUAUUUAUUAUUCCAUCUGUGUCUGAUCAAGCAUAUUUGUUAUCUGUCUUACGCAUGGAACUGGCCAUGAUGAUGGAGCAGCGGGUCCAUCUGGUGGCUUUACCUUCAAUACAUGUUUAGCUUUGUUGCAUAUCUUGGCGGUAAUUAUCCAAUAAUUAUGCUCAAAUAAUUCUCUUUUUUUUGUGGGGGGAUGGGGUGGGGAGGGACUUAGAGACUUCACAGUUGCUGUCACGUAACAGAGGUUGAGGAUACUCAUGAUAGGCUGUCAUUUUUUGGAUGGUAGUGCAAUCUUGAAUUUGCCAAUGUUUUAUCUUGAAGGUAAAUUUUGCCUUAAUUAUUUAUCAAAAUACCAUGUCUUGCUCUUCAAAGGCUAGCUUUCUAGUGGCAUUAUAUUUCUCAGAAUUCAGUCACUCCAUCUGCUAACAUGCCCUGACAUUUAACCAUAGUUUUCCUUCCAACAGUCACAUGCAAUACGCAUCAUAUUGGUCGAGGAAAAAGAUGAAUGGCACAACAACUUUGACAAAGGGAAACUCUCUCUCUCUCUAUGUAUAUAGAAAGAAAACUAGGUUCAGUUUUCUUGGUAAUUCAAAUAUCAUCCAUUAAGAUGCUUCCACUAGACCUAUUAUAAGAUCAUAUACAUGAUUUCCAAUCUUAAUGACAAUAUAAACCAUGAAAUUGGCUUAAUCAAAAACAUCUGAAAAAAUGACAAACUUGUUCAAUCAUGCAAUUUCAAUUGGUUUAUUAAUUUAUCUUAAAUGAUGCAAGGUUUAAUGAAUACAAUGAUAAAUCAGUUACUUUAUAUCACUUGCAUUUAGUGCUAAACAUGCAUCCCUGGGGCUUGUUUCACAGAACUUUGUAUAGGCUGGACAUGAGUCUAGCUGAUGUCAAGGUGAAUUGCUCUGAUCAAUGCUUUUCGAAGUACCCUCUAUAGAGAUGUUGAUAGUUGACUGCAUGUUUACUGGAGAUCAUUUAGGAGUAGGUUCUUGUUAAGUGCAGUAUCAACCAAUGUAGGCACAUGCUAUGCAUAUGUACUUUGUUGAAACAUACUCAGGGUUUAAAGGAUAUAACCUUAAAGACACUUGAGAUGUGUUACCGUGUACUAUUCUUAAAGUAUGUUGUUUAUACCAACUGGCAAUUGUUAAUGCUAUUAAAGCGAUCUUACAUCUCGUAUCAGCCUAGAUACAAGGUCUCGAGCUAAUAACAAUUCAAAUAAUAAUAACUACCCGAGUCAUUAACCUGGAGGGUUGGCUAAUAAAGGGGCCGUUUAUUAUAUACUGACUAAAAAGGUGAACAUCCACCUUGUUUUUUUCCCCAGCCUUUUCCCAGUCGUAAUCUUGAUUUAUCUUUCCUUUGUUUUGGUCUUUUCAUAUUUAUGAAAACCUAGCAAGUGUUUUGAGUUCUGGAAACCAUCUUAUAGGACCCCUCGGGCAUUUUUUCUUACAUAUUGGGUACUGCUGUCACUCGAUGUUGAAGCUGCACAACCUCAGGUUUCAAUGAUUGCUUUGUGGAGGCUGGUUUCAACAGUCUCACGGAAAAGUUUCUUCCGCUUGGCAAACCUUUGAAACCAGCCUCCUCUUACCAAGCGGAGGGGUUUUGACCCAAGCCGAAUAAAAUUUUUUACUCGGUUGAUCUACUAAAAGCUAAAUUGAAUUCUAAGAUCCAGUAGAAACAUAGAUUUGAUCAUGGAGAGGAUAGAUGAUUUCGGGCCUUCACAAAAUUAGACUCAUUGUUUCAAUUCAAAAAUUAAAAAAUAAAAUUUUUAAUUAUCUAGUUCUUAAGCAAUGAGAUUAGAAUUUUGGUAGACACCAUUGAUUAAUCCUUCCUCUGGUACCCAGUAGAAGUUUUUGGGCCCCUUUUUGGGUACUUAACCCAACAAAUGCUUUAACAAACUUCCAACACAAAAAGGAAGAGAACAAAUCUUUUUGAUUUGAUAAUUUGAUCAAAAUUUAAUAUCCAAACAAAAGACUGAUAGAAAAAUUCAAUAUAGCCUCCAAAUAAAAAAGUUUCAUAUCAUCUGAAAAAGUUGACUGAUGAUCUCGAUGGAUCUAACGAGAAGGACAAAAAAAGCAUUGGCCAAAUUAUUUAAUAAAUAUAUUCUUGAUAAUAUUUUUUGUUUUGCACUAUAAUGCCCAAAUCAAAGCAGCUAUAUAAGAGCAAAUUAGAUAAAAAAAUUUAUAUGAUACAUAACAAUAGACACAAGCUCGAAUAUAUUCAAAAUAGAACUAAAACAAACAAAGGUGCGGAGACAUAAGGACAGUAAUAUAGAAAAAGCCACCACAAGUGCAUGCUGGAGGAUAUAACGGUGCACAUCAUAUGCUCUUAUUUAUUGAAAAGGGACACCAUGUGCAUAGAGAAUGUAGAACUUGGUGAUCAAGCCAUGAAGUUGAGAACAGUCCCGAGGGCAAAGGUGAAGUAUGAGACCGCCAGUGUAACCCACAUGAUGCGCUUCGUGAGUGGUUUCAUUGUGGCGGUCAAAAGUUGUAUGAGAUGGACCAUGAGAACCAUAAUGAGGGUGAAAUUGAUGAGACUGGCCAGAGUGUACAACUUAAAAGCUAGCUUGUGGGACUUGGAUUCGGCAGGCACCAAGAUUGCUCCAGAGAGGCACAACUGGAGUAUUGGUGGCAAGGCCGUUUCGAGAAGGUUGAGGGGAGGAGGUGGGAGGAGGUUCAUACCAGUUUGGGCUGGAGGAGGUGGAGGUGGCAAGGCCGUUUCGAGGAGGUUGAGGGGAGGAGGAGGAGGUGGGAGGAGGUUCAUACCGGUUUGGGCAGGAGGAGGUGGAGGUGGCAGGGCCGUUUCGAGGAGGUUGAGGGGAGGAGGAGGAGGAGGUGGGAGGAGGUUCAUACCGGUUUGGGCAGGAGGAGGUGGAGGUGGCAAGGCAGUUUCGAUGAGGUUCUUACCGGUUUGGGCAGGAGGUGCUGCCGACAUUUUUGUUUGGGCAGGAGGAGGUGCUGCUGACAUGAUUGAGAAUGUGAGGGACUCAGGGAUUGGGUAGGCGAGUAGGCGAGGAGACCGGGAUUAAAUAGGCUGUGCAUUUGAUAAAGCAUUUGUGCGGAAGGGACUCAGGGUGAUAAUUUGUGUUGCUUUUCAAACAUCUUGAGUUUGAUAAAGCAUCUCUGCAUUACUUUUCAAGCAUCUUGAGUUUUGAUAAAAGCAUCUGCAUUUGUGUUACUUUUCAAGCAUCUUGUUGAUAAAGCAUCUGCAUAAGCACCUGCAUUUGCGUUACUUUCCAAGUUCCUUUCCAAGUUCUGAAGUGUGCGGAAGGGACUCAGGUUGAUAAUUUGUGUUACUUUUCAAGCAUCUUGAUUCUUGAUAAAAGCAUCUGCAUUUGUGUUACUUUUCAAGCAUCUUGAGUUUGAUAAAGCAUCUGCAUAAGCACCUGCAUUUGUGUUACUUUCCAAGUUCUGAAGGGUGCGGAAGGGACUCAGGUUGAUAAUUUGUGUUACUUUUCAAGCAUCUUGAUUCUUGAGUUUUUUCUGGGUCUGGUCAUAUUCUGCCACUCGAGAUCUUGAUAAAGCAUCUGCAUUUGUCUUACUUUCCAAGUUCUGAAGGGUGCGGAAGGGUCUCAGGGAUCUUGGGUUUGAUAAAGCAUCUGCAUUUGUGUUACUUGGUAAAGCAUUUGUGCGGAAGGGACUCAGGGUCAAGUUGUGGGAUCUGCAUUUGUGUUACUUUUAUAUAAAAAUGGUGUUUCAUAUAUUCUAACAGAUCCUAUAAAUAGAUCAGAUUUUUGCUGAAGCACUACAGGUAAAAUGACCAUCAAGACUAAAACUAGCAAAUAUGGUGCAUAAAUUAGGUUUGGCGCCCAUUAUGGGUGGUGGCUGGGUACGCAAAGGAGUUCUUUCUAUACAUUGGCUGGCCAGGGAAUUUCAAGCUCAUUCUGGCUUUAACAAAAUGACCUUGUGAGACCGCCGGAUGAUAGAUGAAAGUAGUGUUCUUAUGAUCAUCACGGCUCAAGCAGCUGGCUCGAGAGUCAUCGUCUAUCAGGCUAACAUAAUCUUUAGCAUGGUGGUUCCAGUUUCUAUUUCAACUUGCAUACGAAGCAGAAUGUCGUCCAAAAAAAAUGCUGCUACUUUUUUUUUAUUCUUGUUUCAAGCAUACAAUACAAUAUAAGGCUAUAAAUGGGUCAGGUUGACUCGUAA